UACGUAGGGGGCGAGCGUUGUCCGGAUUCAUUGGGCGUAAAGGGCUCGUAGGCGGUCUGUCGCGUCGGGAGUGAAAACUCAGGGCUUAACCCUGAGCCUGCUUCCGAUACGGGCAGACUAGAGGUAUGCAGGGGAGAACGGAAUUCCUGGUGUAGCGGUGAAAUGCGCAGAUAUCAGGAGGAACACCGGUGGCGAAGGCGGUUCUCUGGGCAUUACCUGACGCUGAGGAGCGAAAGUGUGGGGAGCGAACAGG
rnacentral:rRNA from 1 species